CACGUAGGGUGCGAGCGUUGUCCGGAAUUAUUGGGCGUAAAGAGCUCGUAGGCGGCCUGCUAAGUCGAACGUGAAAUCCCCGAGCUCAACUCGGGAACUGCGUCCGAUACUGACAGGCUUGAAUCCGGGAGAGGGAUGCGGAAUUCCAGGUGUAGCGGUGAAAUGCGUAGAUAUCUGGAGGAACACCGGUGGCGAAGGCGGCAUCCUGGACCGGCAUUGACGCUGAGGCGCGAAAGCUAGGGGAGCAAACGGG
rnacentral:rRNA from 1 species